rnacentral:rRNA from 1 species
GAGGAAGGCGGGGACGACGUCAAAUCAUCAUGCCCCUUACGUUCUGGGCUACACACGUACUACAAUGGCGUCUAACAGAGGGGAGCGAAGGAGCGAUCCGGAGCAAAUCCCAAAAAGACGUCCCAGUUCAGACUGCAGGCUGCAACCCGCCUGCACGAAGUCGGAAUUGCUAGUAAUCGCAGGUCAGCAUACUGCGGUGAAUACGUUCCCGGGCUUUGUACACACCGCCCGUCAAACCAUGAAAGUCGGGAAUACCCGAAGUCAGUGAGCUAACCGCAAGGGGGCAGCUGCCUAAGGUAGGUUCGAUGAUUGGGGUUAAGUCGUAACAAGGUA